UGAGCAAUCUGCCCUUCUCAUCGGAAUAAGCGUUGGAAACGACGUCUAAUGCCGAAUACGACCUCCUUUCGCAUGAUCGGAGGUGGAAAGCUCCGGCGGAGAAGGAUGAGCUCGCGGCCUAUCAGCUAGUUGGUGUGGGUAAUGGCCCACCAAGGCGACGACGGGUAGCUGGUCUGAGAGGAUGAUCAGCCACACUGGGACUGAGACACGGCCCAGACUCCG
rnacentral:rRNA from 1 species